rnacentral:rRNA from 1 species
UACGUAGGGUGCGAGCGUUGUCCGGAAUUAUUGGGCGUAAAGAGCUCGUAGGCGGUGUGUCACGUCGUUCGUGAAAACCUGCAGCUUAACUGUGGGCGUGCGGUCGAUACGGGCAUCACUGGAGUUCGGCAGGGGAGACUGGAAUUCCUGGUGUAGCGGUGAAAUGCGCAGAUAUCAGGAAGAACACCCGUGGCGAAGGCGGUUCUCUGGGACGGUACUGACGCUGAGGAGCGAAAGCGUGGGGAGCGAACAGG